UACAGAGGUCUCAAGCGUUGUUCGGAAUCACUGGGCGUAAAGGGUGCGUAGGCCGCACGGUAAGUCAGAGGUGAAAUUCCGGAGCUCAACUCCGGAAUGGCCUCCGAUACUGCCGUGCUCGAGGACUGGAGAGGAGUCUGGAAUUCACAGUGGAGCAGUGAAAUGCGUAGAUAUUGUGAGGAACACUAGUGGCGAAGGCGAGACUCUGGACAGUUCCUGACGCUGAGGCACGAAGGCCAGGGGAGCAAACGGG
rnacentral:rRNA from 1 species